CGGGGUGCACCAGGCGCGAAAACUUUACAAUGCUGGCAACAGCGAUAAGGGGACCUCGAGUGCCAGGAUACAAUCUUGGCUGUCGCGAUGCCUAAAAAGCAUUGCAUAGCAAGGGCCGGGCAAGACCGGUGCCAGCCGCCGCGGUAACACCGGCGGCUCGAGUGGUAACCGCUAUUAUUGGGUCUAAAGGGUCUGUAGCCGGCCGGAUAAGUCUUUUGGGAAAUCCAGCUGCUCAACAGUUGGGCUUUCAGAAGAUACUGUUCGGCUCGAGACCGGGAGAGGUGAGAGGUACUUCAGGGGUAGGGGUGAAAUCUUGUAAUCCUUGAAGGACCACCAGUGGCGAAGGCGUCUCACCAGAACGGAUCUGACGGCAAGGGACGAAAGCUAGGGGCACGAACCGGAUUAGAUACCCGGGUAGUCCUAGCCGUAAACGAUACUCGCUAGGUGUCAGCCACGGUGCGACCGUGGUUGGUGCCGUAGGGAAGCCGUGAAGCGAGCCACCUGGGAAGUACGGCCGCAAGGCUGAAACUUAAAGGAAUUGGCGGGGGAGCACAAGGGCGAAUUCGCGG
rnacentral:rRNA from 1 species